AUUUUUAUGUUGCAUAUUUAGGACAAAGAGGCUCUCUUAAACGAAAGAUAAUUGCAAGAUCCGGUUCAGCAGCUUUGUCCCUUGCCUCAAGUUUACUGCAGGGCUUCUCUCCUCUCUGGUUAUACAGAAAUGAAAUUAUAAACCACCAGUAGCCUUGGAAAUUUCAGUCGAUUCCAAAUGACUAAAUAUUUAAUUCAAUCAUUGCCUAUACUUCCAGGGAUGACUCUGGCAUUUGCUUUUUAUUGAGGGCUCCAUGAAAGCCAGGCUCUGCAAUGGCUGCUGGGGACUGUGUCUGUUGCAAGGAGGCUCCCCUGCAGUGAGGAGCCGGGGCACUGCAAGUCUAUUCCAUAGCAGCCCUUUUUGCAAAUGGUAGUUGAUUUUUGCAGAAGGUUUGUGGCCAGAUCGCUAUGUAUAAUACUGAUGAAGCAUUUUUGUUCCAGCUCUGUCUCGGAAGACCUAGGCUGUAGACGUGGGGAUUUCAGUAGGAAACAUUAUGGAUCUGUGGAGCUGCUUAUUUCCAGUGAUGCUGAUGGAGCCAUCCAAAGGGCUGGAAGAUUCAGAGUGGAAAAUGGCUCUUCAGAUGAGAAUGCAACUGCCCUGCCUGGUACUUGGCGAAGAACAGACGU
rnacentral:sRNA from 1 species